CUUAGCGACAGGGAGGCGGCGGCGCAUGCGCGGAGCGGGCGCUGUGGCGGCGGCGGUGAUGGAGGCGGCCAUGGAGCCGGGAGAGGAGGUGGAGGAUGAGGAGGAGCAGCGAGUUCCUCCUAUUGCAACAACUCCGCCACGCCGCAGCUGGAGAGAGGAAUCCUUAAGCCAGAGCAGCAGUGAGACCCUGGUCUCAGCUACCAGUGGGAUCUCCCUGGGAGAAGCAAUACGUCAGAGAACGGCUGCUCAUCAGGAAAUUGACUCAUGGUAUCAGCUUCCAGCAGAGGUGGAUGCCAGCCGUUUAACUGCUGCCUCAGAGACAACGCUUGGCCUGGCUUCUGAUAGGAAUGACCUGUCUGAGUUCCCUACACUGGAGGAAGGAAUGUUGCCUUCAGCAGAAACAUCAAGGAUGCAGCAUCCUGAAGAUACAGUGCAUGGCUUGCUGCUGGAUAUUCAGGACAGUCAAUUCACUCCCUGUCUUCCUUUGCUGACGUAUUCAACACCAGGCCAAAGGAUUUUGGAUGAGACGCUUUUCCAGCAAUCAGAAAGGGAUUUCAUUCAUUUAAGAGGAGUCCCUGAUGUUUCUGGUGCUUCUGAGCAGCAUUCAGAUCCUUUGCACAUCCCAGGAGCAGCCUGGCUGACAGAUGUUGAAACGCCCUCUGAUGCUCCCAGUGGCAGCUGUUCCUUGUCCCAGCAUCCCCUUUCAUUUGGGCAGACAGAACCUUGUGAUGCCAACUAUUUGUCUCAGCAAGCCUCUCGUUUUUCUGAACAACUACUUACGAACAAGGAGGCAAGUGAAGACUGCAAGACUGGUACUAAUGAGAAGGCACUGAUUCCCCAGAUGGGUGACAAAGCAAUGAACCAGAUGGAAGCUGCACUUGCAAAGCAGACCUAUGGUACUUCUGUAGAAGAUGAACGUUUCACUUGUGACAACAAUGUGCUGACUCCAGUUUUUGAGCUUUCAGAGAAAGAAAAAGAGUUAUCGGGGCAUGAUGAGUUCUCAUCUUCUGAAAACUCCUCUUGUAAAACAGCCCUGACAAAGAAUUCAGGAAAAAGUGAAAGAGAAAUGCAAAUGGAAAGGGUAAAAAUGGCUGGGAGUGAGUCAGCAGGGUGCCUGAGACAUCCAGAGAGGAUGGAAAAAGAAGGAGCUCCUGAGCUUGGUUCUUCUAAGACAUUAUCUGAUGAUUUGAAGAAAAGCAGUUGUAAAAAUUCAGGUGCACGGGAUGUGUUUUCUGCAAAGACUUCAGAAAUAACUGGAGAGUCCAAGGAGUGCCAAGUUGAUUUGAAUGGCUUUGGAAGCAUGAAGUUUGUAGCUGUUACUAAUGAACUCCGGGGAGCUUUCCUGGAGAAGCAAGGUUUGAGAGAACAGGAGUUGAGCCCAAUUGUGCCAAGCACCGGUGAUAGUGCCCCUAAACAACUAGUAAUGACUGACAUGGAAUCUCCUCCUUCCUGCAGUGGGAAUGCCCGAGUGGAAGUAGAGCCUGGAGUUCACAAGGCUGAAUUAACUAUUUCAGAUGUUUCCAUAGAGAGGGGACAUAAAGUUACAGGCAUUUCCCCUUCACUUAAUUUCAUUGUAGAUGAUGGCUCGUUCUUUAGACAUUUCUCCCAUCCAAACUAUCAGUCUACUCCAGGGGUACUUUUAAACAAAAAUGUCAAGGCAGAACUGGGUGCUCAUGUGGUCAAAUCAGGUGGUCAAGCUUCUCCUUUAUGCUUAAAUGAAGACAAUUGUGGGAACUCAACUACCAGUACACCUACAUCUGUUGAGAAGCAACGUUCUCUCCAGUGUGCCCAAAAAGAAAACAGCAAACGCUUUGACUCCUUAAAGCUAAAAUAUCCUCACACUGGGAGAAUUCAGUCACUCCCAUCACUUAAUUUCAUGGAGAAGGUGGACACUUGGAAUAUGAGCCAGCCAGAGAAUACGUCUGAUGCUCUGGCUUCAUGUUACCAGAAUGUAAUUUCACAUAGAAAGAAAGCCUACAGUGCAGUUGCCAUUUCUGCAAACAAUAUUUUUUCAAUGCAGAAUAGCAGCAGAAACCCUAAAGAUUACGUUGCUGUUCCUUCUGGAGAGAAGCAUUCCUUGGAAAAUAUUCAUUUUCAUAAUAAAAGCUCAGAGCGUUUCCACCCUCUUACUAGAUCUCAGUCUGACAACUCAGUGAAUGUUGUAAGAAAGGACAACUCCCAGGCUGAUGUUGUUCAACCUGUUAAUGAAGCAAUGCAGCCUCUAGAAAGUAACGUUUCAGGAGUGCCUGAAAAUAGCUCAGGAGGCUCCUUGAUGCACAAGCUUACAACUGAGGUUGCUUCUGGGUCUGUUGAUAAAGGUGCUGAAGGUAACAGUAUGGGGCAAAGCUCAUAUCCAAAUGCUUUUGUUUCCAGUGAAAGAGUUUCUCACCUCAUCAAAGAAGAUGGAAGCUCUUCAACUGAUACCCAGAAAAAAUGUGAUGGUCUUGAAAAUCAAAGACUGUCUCAUAACUUAGAUGUUGGUCAUGUCAGAAAGGACAAUUUUGCUGAUACUUCCCCAGAUAAUCCAAAUCUUCCUGCUUGUUCUGGGGCCUUGGGCUCCCCAGGGUGUUCUUCAGUGGUUACCAGGCACUUCUUCACCGGUGCAGAAGGUGACAACAUCAUCUCUGUCAGAGCAACCACAGUUUUGGAGACUCCAGAGAAGGAAGAGCUUAAUAUUGAAGAAAGGAUCCCGAUAUACCUACGCAACCUUGGCAUAGACCAGUCGCCUGGAACUAUACUGACUCCUUUUGUGCCCCGAGGACCAAUUAGGGAAGUUGAAUUUUCCCCUUCAGACCUCAGAACACUGAAGGAUUCCACUGACACGCUGACAAGGACCAUUCAGCAGCCACAAGGUGAAUUGCUGGCAGCAGUUGACGUUGUACAAACGAGUUUCAACUCUGACACUUCCACUGCCAGUAUUUCUAUUCCAAUGAAUUCAGAAACUGAUUCUGAUACUUUUUCACCUGGAGAACUCUCUUCCCGCUUCUCACUACCUUUUGGAGCAAAACCCGUGAGUCAGUGCACUAUGUCAUGCCACAAAGUAGAGGUAACUUCUCCUCUUUCCACACAACGAGAGACAGAAUGUUCCGCUGUCUCCAAACUGGCUGAGCCAAGCCAGCACCUGCAGACUGUUCCACCUGAUUGCCAUUCUAACAGAGAGAGCCCCGUGCUUGUAGCAAAAAGUGUUCAGGGUCUGCUAGCUAAAAAGGAAUCAAAGGAUGCGAGUGGCAGCUCAUGGGGAUGGACUGCCAGUUCUUUGGCCGGAGUUACAGAUGAAAAGGAGAGAGGGUCACAGACUUCAAGUGCAGAGAGUGAGAAAAAUAAGGGUCAAGAAAGUGAUUGUCUGCUUGGAUCUGGUGCAUUGCAAGAAAUCCGUAAACUUCUGGCAGAGGCAGAGAGCAUAGCUGGCAGAUGGCGUGACCCUGUCUUUUCCAAUGCAUCUUCUAGAGAAACUCAAUCUUCCCCAGUGCAGAUUGAAAAGGAGGAUGACACCAGGGAUUCCAAGUUAGUGAAAGACAGCAUCCCUCAGUUUCAGAAGGUCGUGUCACGGGCUGAGAGUAUGAGCCAAAGAAGUAUCCAAGAGGGAUCAAUAACAAAGCCUAUGGAUUCUUGCAAAGAUGAUUUAAAAUGGGAACGUUCUUUUGAUGUCGGCUUGUGCAGUCGUGAAGGUAUGGAGAUGACCAGAGAGUUUAGGACAGGAAAAUCUGUAGGAAGGUCUGAGCCAGAAGGCUGUAGCAGCAUAACUACAGACAGAAACCUACCUGCUGUUGUGGCUGUUGCUCAAAGCAAUGCGAAUAGUGAACUCAGCACCAGAAGACCUUCAGAGUUAGAGGAACCUUCUCCAUCAGAGCCUCGAGAAAGUGUCAUCGAUGUCCCAGGAAGCUUCCAGAACAAGUUAUCUAAAGCUGAUGUUGCUGUAAACACGGCAGGAGGCAUACGAGAAAGCAGUGGCAGUAACAGUGGAGAUUCGUUAGCUGCCCAUGUCAAAAACCUUCUGGGGAAUCCUUUGAUAUCUCUAGGCAACACUGCUGAUAUCUCAGGAGGCUUCCAAAGCAUGAUGUCAAAAACAAGUGCAGCUGGAAGCAAAGCAGGAGGCGUGCAGGACAGUGACGGCAGUAGCAGUGGGGAUUCACUAGCUGCCCGUGUCAAAAACCUUCUGAGGGGUCCUUCAGAGACUUUAGGCAGCACCACUGAUGCCCCAGGAGGCUUCCAGAGUGUGUUGUCAAAACCAAGUGUAGCUGGAAGCAAAGCAGGAGGUGUUCAAGAGAGUGAUGGCAGUAGCAGUGCAGACUCUUUGGCUGCCCGUGUCAAAAGCCUUCUGAGGAAUGGGUCACCUCUGAUGCCUGCAGUGCCAGUUCUGAAGAGUGCCAAUGAAGAGGAGUGGAAAGCACGAGCAUGGGUGAAACUAAAGCUGGCCAGCCGAUCUCAGGAAGCUGUGUUGGACUUGAAUGAAGAGGACCGACAAAGGAUAGAGGAAAUAAAGGCUGAACUGCUUCUGAGUGCCAAGAAAUCUGGACAAGCCAAGGGUACACGGAGUUACAGUUCAGAGGCUGCUUCUGUGUAUAGCUAUAAUCAAGAAGCAGACAAAGUGCAUUCCAAAGCUUCAAGUGACAAGAGAUUUCGUUCUGACAGCCAAACACAAGCCUUCAAGACUAAGGAGCUUUUAAUGCCAAGCUUGCAACGCGUUGUGCCAUUGUAUAGAGCUGAACUUUCAGAUAGUUGUCUACUGAAGAAUACCCAGCUGAAAUCCUUAAGUACUGCUGAACCUCCUGCCUGCAGCCAACAUCAGGCCAUUGCAAGUAGCCAUUCUGACUGUGUUGGCCUUCAGCUGCCAUUGCAAAAGCAGCAGGACACACGUGUGAUGAGCUCUGCAGCUGCUUCUGGUGCACUAACAGGAAAAGUCCCUUCACCAGCACAGAAGAAGCUGUCUUUUCCAAAGUGCUCUGAAGAGAUGUCUAAGCAAAUUACAUCUAUCACCUUCUCAUCCCGAAAGCGUUUUCAAUCACCGUUAUCUUCCGUGGUACACGAUGGCUUUUCUAGUGGAGAUGAUCUUGAUGGGAUAAUGCCUUUGGAGAUAGAUUCAGCUACUGCUGAGGAACAGAGCCGUGACAAACAUCACUGGGAGAGAUCUGAGACCUGUCCUCUUUCAAGUCCAGCUCUCGCUGGCUCACGAUCUAAUGAAAUUGCAUUUACUGCUGACAAAGACAGGUUUUGUGAUGUCUCUGAUGGUAACAGAGCUGGAGCUGAUCAAGAAACAGACUUUUUGUCAGAUCGGGAGUCUGUAACCGUCUAUGCUGAUGAGAGACAGACCCUUAGUGCAAAAAAUCUUGAUGCUUCAUCUCAAAAUGUGACUGAAUUGGGCAGGCAUAGUGCCAGACUCCUGGGGCUUGACUGCGAGAGAAGAUUUAGUCAAAGUAUGAAGGGGCUUCAUGAGCCUCGUUCUAUAAGCCCUUAUCAGAAGGAGAAAAGCAGCCCUACCAGCCAUGUCCAAUUGCGUGAGAGCUUAGAAGGUUCUGAUCCAGCUAUACAGACUGAUUUGCCAAAGGACCACGGUAAGCUGCUGGAAGAAGAGAAAUGUCCUUCUGAUGCAGUGCCUCUCAUUCAAAAAGAAGAUUCUGGAGAGCAAAUUGGUGCAUCUCAGCAUUCAUCUCCAGAUGAGAUUUUAUGCACUGUGUCUCCUUCAUCACCCAUUAAGAAAGCGCUGUCUUGUGUCCACAUCACUCUUUCCCCAAAAUGUAAUAACUCAGAGCUGCACAGGGACUUGAAUACUGAAAACAGGAUGAGUUUGGGAGAUAAACUUGAAGUUAAUUCUCAACCAGUGCCUUUAAAAACACCAGAAACUUUAUUAGAAGCUCUUCCUAAAUUACCCACUGCUGACCUUAUUCCAGAAGAUCAGAGAUGCUCAUCUUUCCCAGUGCCUUCAGCAGACCCCUGCUCAGUGUUUUACUCUGUUCCAAGCACAGCAGGGCAAGAGCUGCCUUUGCAUGGCAGCGAGAAACCGCAGGCUGUGAGUUCAGAGGGUCAUAGCCUGAAGAAUAUCUGCAACUGCACAGAUCCUGCAAAGAGUAGGAAAAGCACUUCUGACGCUACCACUCAGAUAACAACAGAAAGCCCUGGGAAAACAACUUUUUCAGCAGAGAUCUAUGUUAAUUCACAAGACAUUGAAAGCUCUGCCCAUCAGUCUUCAACCCAGAAAGCAAAAGAAUUUCCCCAAAAUACAACUUCGUGUCUUAACAGGACUUCCUCUUUCCCAAGGCAGGGUGCAGGUCAGCCAUUACUGCUGCCAUAUAAACCUUCUGGAAGUACUGAGAUGUAUUAUGUUCCUUAUCUAAAAGCAGGAACCAAAAUUUCUCUUCUUGGAACAGAAAACAGCGGACCACAUGAUGCUCUUCCCUCAGGGCUUCCAGCAAAUGUGCUUGGUAUGCAGGAUAACGCUCCAGACAGUACAGCUAUCAAGCAUAAGGAAGGAGUCUACUGUAAGAGGGCUAAGCCCAAGCUUGCCUGGGCUGAAGAGCAAACGAUAGCACAGGAAGGUGCCCCAGAAGGCAGUCAUCAUUUAAAGUCGGUGAACACCACUCACUCAGGCUUCAAGUCUGCACAGUUCUACCUCCAUCAUCCUGUAUCCAUGCGUGAGAAAUACCUCUUGUCCCACAGUGAGCCCUCAGAGGACUCUUCUGGUGUGGGACACACUGGGAUUUCUUCCAGCACUGCUGUUCGGAAUUGGAAGAAGGCGCAUCGACAUAGAUGGGUUUUCUCUGCACACCAUAGGAAAGAUGACAAACGUGAGUUCUUCCCGCUUACUGCAGAAGCAGAUUAUAGCAAGAAUGAGGAUCUAAACGUUGAUACAUCUUUGAAUAAUGAAGCACCAAGAGAGGAGUUGCUUCAGCCAGGUGGAAGAGAAGCAGAACAAAUGGCAGCUUAUAGCCAAACAAGUCACCUUCGUGAGAAUGUGGUCAAAGACCUGCCCCCGAGACACAGAACCCAUUCUGCUGGUAGCUUAGAUGAACUCUGGGUUAAGUUUUUGGAGCGCCAGAAGAGGUACCAGCAGCAUGAAUUCCGGCAUAAAGGUGAGCUGACCCUUGUUGAGCGCCUCGAUCGAUUGGCCAGAGUCCUUCAGAACCCCGUUAGGUAUACACUGAUAUCAGCAAAAGCAGAAAGGAAUGCUUCUGAAGAAACAGAUGAGGUGAAAGAGCAGGAGAAAAGAAGACUGCUGGAGAAGAGCGUGGCUGAAAGUACCUUGGAGCCUCAUGCUGCACGUGUUAAAGAGAGGCCACGUAUCAACUGUCAUGAAAGAAGCUUUGUUGAGCUUAGGAAAAAUAGGUCAGAAGAGAAAGUUACCAUCCACAUGCAUGAAAUUUCAGAGCACCAGCAGUAUUUGGACACUUCUAGUGACACUUGCUCAGAGAGAAGGCUUAGUAAAGAUCUCUGCACCACUGUCAGUUCUGUCAUCUCAGAAUCAGAUGCAGUAACACAAACAGAUAUAGAAACUACGACUCAGACUGAGGUGAGCAGUUCUGUUUCCACCAUUGACACUGCCAGACUGGUCAGGGCUUUUGGGCACAGAAGGGUGCAGCUGUCACCGAGACUCUCCCAGCUCUAUUGUACCAUCCGCCAGCAGAAAAGCCGCUCUGAAAAGUGGGAUGAGGAAGACAGCAGAGUGAGGGGUGUAAAACAUCCAAACGUUACUUCUGAGAGACACAGGAAGCAGAAAGAGACCCAGGCAUUGGAUCCAGCUUUGACAAGCAGUGGUUCCUGGGGACCAAGCUCAGCUCUCAGUAACAAGCGACGCUCACGGAUGUUAAACAAAGGUAUCCAAGCAGGAGACUUAGAGAUUGUGAAUGGUGCAACGAAGAGAAACACUCGAGACUUCGGUGUGACUUUUCCUACCCCAAGACCUAUCCAGCCAAAUCAGCGGCCGCGGGAUCCCUGGCAUCGUGUCCAUGGUAUUUUUGGAGAGUCAGAUGGUACGGUCACAGAUCACCAGGCAGCAGGAAGGAAGGGGAUUUCAUGGUUUGUCCAAGCAGAGGAUUUGAAGUUUGAAUCUAGGAAAGAAAACUGUUCCAAUUCCAUCCCUGGUCCUGGUUCAUCCUGGUUUGAGCCAUUCACCACCACAAAGCCCUGGAGAGAGCCUCUAAGAGAGAAGAACUUUCAAGAGCAGCAGUGCAGCAAAGUGACUCAACCUGCAGAAAGAGAUGCUGAGACCAGGCCCACCCGGCCAUUUGUGAAGCUUACGCUGCAGGAAGCUCUUGCACUGCAUCGCCCUGAUUUCAUCUUCCGCUCUGGUGAACGUGUGAAGCACCUGAAGCUUGUAAUGGAGGAGAGGAGAAUACAGAGUGAACUGCAGUCUGAACAAGAAGAGCUUUUUAAUCCUCUAGAGAAAAGAAAGGGUUACAGGAAUGCAAAUCACCUGCUGGACGAUAGAGGUUAUCUGAUGAAAGAAAAGAGAAGAGCGAUUCCAAAGAGUGAAAUGGUUCAAAGAUCUAAACGGAUCUAUGAGCAGCUGCCAGAGGUGCAGAAGAAACGAGAAGAAGAAAAAAGAAAAGCUGAGUACAACUCAAACCGCCUGAAGGCACAGCUGUACAAAAUGAAGUGAAAGCACCUGGAAUUCCAGUGAAACUUGGGAGAAGCUGCCACUUCUACAGACAGAAAAUGAAGUCUACAAUGAGGUUUGAAGAGCUGAGUCUGCUCAGUCCUCGGGCUGCACCAUCCUCUGUCCUUCUCAUGGCUUCUUGGUGAUGGGUUCUAGUAAAGAUGACUCACGUCCGUUCCACUUUCAACUCCUUGUUGUCAUCAGGUCAGAUAAAACUCGUGCUGGAUGAGAGGCAUCCAAUGUUUACAGAUCUGUGGAAAGAAGCUGUUGACAGUUUGGAGUCAUCGGUUCCAAAAUGGGAAAACUUCUUUCCAGAAACUCAGGGUAUCAUGCUUGUCUUGUGCUGCUUCCAGAGUGGAGUCAUCUCUUCUUAAUCUGCUGCUACACAAAGACAUUUAGGGACAACGCAAUGGACUUUGAAGAGGAAGAAACUGAAGAGAGAUUUGCACACGGGUGAGCUGGCUGCUUCCAUUUACCCGUUAAAGCAUCCGGAC